AUGCAAGUCGAACGAGAAAGUGGGGCAACCCAUGAGUACAGUGGCGUACGGGUGAGUAACACGUGGAUGAUCUACCUUCUGGUGAGGAAUAACCCUGGGAAACCGGGGCUAAUACCGCAUAAGCUCGAGAGAGGAAGGUCGCAAGACGCUGGAAGAGGAGUCCGCGGCCGAUUAGCUAGUUGGCAGGGUAAAAGCCUACCAAGGCAAAGAUCGGUAGCCGGCCUGAGAGGGCACACGGCCACACUGGCACUGAAACACGGGCCAGACUCCUACGGGAGGCAGCAGUGGGGAAUCUUGCACAAUGGGGGAAACCCUGAUGCAGCGACGCCGCGUGAGCGAUGAAGCCCUUCGGGGUGUAAAGCUCUUUCGGCAGGGACGAUAAUGACGGUACCUGCAGAAGCAGCUGCGGCUAACUACGUGCCAGCAGCCGCGGUAAUACGUAGGCAGCAAGCGUUGUUCGGAGUUACUGGGCGUAAAGGGUGUGUAGGCGGUUGCUUAAGUUUGGUGUGAAAUCUCC
rnacentral:rRNA from 1 species